rnacentral:tRNA from 1 species
GGUCUCUUGGUGUAGUGGCUAUCACGUCUCCUUUACACGGAGAAGGUCGCGAGAUCAAUCCUCGCAGAGUCCA